UACGUAGGGUGCGAGCGUUAAUCGGAAUUACUGGGCGUAAAGGGUGCGCAGGCGGCGUCGCAAGUCAGGCGUGAAAUCCCCGGGCUUAACCUGGGAACUGCACUUGAAACUACGAUGCUGGAGUAUGGCAGAGGGAGGUGGAAUUCCACGUGUAGCGGUGAAAUGCGCAGAUAUCGGGAAGAACACCCGUGGCGAAGGCGGCUCUCUGGGACGGUACUGACGCUGAGACGCGAAAGCGUGGGGAGCGAACAGG
rnacentral:rRNA from 1 species